rnacentral:rRNA from 1 species
GCAUAAGGGAGCUUGACUGCGAGACCUACAAGUCGAGCAGGGUCGAAAGACGGACUUAGUGAUCCGGUGGUUCCGCAUGGAAGGGCCAUCGCUCAACGGAUAAAAGCUACCCCGGGGAUAACAGGCUUAUCUCCCCCAAGAGUUCACAUCGACGGGGAGGUUUGGCACCUCGAUGUCGGCUCAUCGCAUCCUGGGGCUGUAGUCGGUCCCAAGGGUUGGGCUGUUCGCCCAUUAAAGCGGUACGCGAGCUGGGUUCAGAACGUCGUGAGACAGUUCGGUCCCUAUCCGUCGUGGGCGUAGGAAAUUUGAGAGGAGCUGUCCUUAGUACGAGAGGACCGGGAUGGACAUACCUCUGGUGUACCAGUUGUCGUGCCAACGGCAUAGCUGGGUAGCUAUGUGUGGACGGGAUAAGUGCUGAAAGCAUCUAAGCAUGAAGCCCCCCUCAAGAUG